rnacentral:lncRNA from 1 species
CAAACACAGAUCUUCUGGAUUUGAUCUUCGAGGUUUUUUCCGACCUCAGGAAUUCUGUGAUUCUCUAGAAUGACAGCAAAAAGGAGAAAAUUUCCUCCAGUGGCUUUGGACAGAUCCUCACAGCUGAAGAGGAAAAUCUUCUCGUGCCUCAGACACCAUCCCCUUGGGCCAGGCUGAAGGUCACUGUCCAGAAGAGUCCAGAGCUCUGACUAACACUGGUUUUGUGGUUUUUGGUUAAAUCCAUGGAUUUCUGAGGUGCUGUGUCGAAGUUACAGAGGAUUUUCCAGAACAGAAGGAACACAGAGAGACUUCAGGAAGAUCUUUCUCAUUUCCAGUGCCACCUGUGUGAGCGAUGUCUCCUCUUGUGCCAGACUUCCCCUCAUCCAGCUCUCCCCACCUCCUCCUGAGGCCAAGACAAGUUUUUCCAUUUAUUUCUCUGACUGCUGCUCGAAGCCCUGACUGUGCUGGCACAACCUUGAAGGCUUACACAAGACAGAAGUGUAGUUUCGUGAAAACCAUUUGCUGGAGUUGCAGUCUGUUUCUCUGAGGGAUUCCAGCCGUGCUGCAGAAGAGGGAUGAGAGCCUGAGGGGUGGUUGAUGUCACAGGAUGGUGUUUCUGCUGUUUCCAUCCCCUUUUUUUGGGAUGUUACCCACUGAAGCUGCAUUUCAAAAGCACUUUUAAAACUGCAAAGCCAAACCUUCAAAAGCUGGGCAACGCCAAUGGGACUUGGGCAAUCCUAAAGAGAAUGAUAAGGGGAAAAAAUACUCUCACAUCUGCCUGCUCAUGCUGCCCCCGAGGUGAAAUCCCAAUAAACAAG